rnacentral:ncRNA from 13 species
ACCGUCCUUCUCUUGGGGUGGCGCUACUGUCCGAUGAACGUUUAGUGAGGACAGUACUGCUAACGCUCAGGCAACACACUCGCACCUGCUAGGGCUCCGCCUUAACCGGGUGCAAUUUUUGGAACC